rnacentral:lncRNA from 1 species
AAAGAGGGAGGAGGGGUGGAGAAAGAAGUACCAGGGAGAUCAUUAAUUCCAAAGGCAGAUACACCACAAUCUGAACCAGUGGAAAAAAUGUCAUCCCAAGCACUAGUUUUCUUACCAGAAGUGGAUGGAGGUGGAGGAGUUUGCAAUUUUACUGCACCAAACUUGUCAUCAUACAGUUUAAAUGCAGUAGACAGUUCAGCUCUAACAUCAGUGAAGUAAGCAGAAUAAUCAGUAGCAGUAAGACUAGAUAACAACCUGAGCACAU